rnacentral:rRNA from 1 species
GAUGAACGCUGGCGGCGUGCCUAACACAUGCAAGUCGAACGAAGCUUGACGGAUGAUUUCUUCGGAAUGAAACCAGAUAUGACUUAGUGGCGGACGGGUGAGUAACACGUGAGCAACCUGCCUUUCAGAGGGGGAUAACGGCUGGAAACGGUCGCUAAUACCGCAUGAUGUGUUCGGAUGGCAUCAUCUGAACAUCAAAGAUUUAUCGCUGAAAGAUGGGCUCGCGUCUGAUUAGAUAGUUGGUGGGGUAACGGCCUACCAAGUCUACGAUCAGUAGCCGGACUGAGAGGUUGAACGGCCACAGUGGGACUGAGAUACGGCCCAGACUCCUACGGGAGGCAGCAGUGGGGAAUAUUGCACAAUGGGGGAAACCCUGAUGCAGCAACGCCGCGUGAAGGAUGACGGUUUUCGGAUUGUAAACUUCUUUUCUUAGUGACGAAGACAGUGACGGUAGCUAAGGAAUAAGCAUCGGCUAACUACGUG